GGGUGACACCAAGGCAAAAAAUUGCAAAAUAUACAGAAGAAAAAUGUUGUUUUGCCAGUCCCAUUAAUGAUUAAUUAAAGUUAAAUAGUCUUUUAAGUACAAAUUGACAAUUAUUACCAGAGGGUGGGGGUGAUACCAUGUCGUAAAGGUACUAAAGUACUAACUAUAGAGAAAACAUUGCUACAUCCAAGUUCCAACUGUAUUAUUAACAGACUAAAGAUAAACCUCGUUACUUGGGUGACACCCGAUCUAGCGAUGCCAUUGGGCCUUAGACGUAAGCACUUUAUUUAAAUUUUUACUAAUUUCAAAACUUUAAUCUUCAGGUUCUCUCAACAUGGAGACAGGAAUAAGACAGACACAGGGACAAAGAUACCAACAAUGUUCUAGAACACUGCAAUCAACUGAUUUACAACCCUCUGUAUUCAAGUGGCUAGAGUACUACCAUGUGUUUUGUGCUUAUGGGUUUAUGAUUACAGUAAAAAAUAAAACCAAGUGCUGUGAUAGGUUGAAACAAACCAGCUUCCUUUCAGGUCCAUGGGACAGAUGGAGAGAUCAUGAGUUUCUCUGACUUUGGCAUAGGAAGGGAUAGUGUAGUCAAGUUUAAUACAAUGCUCAGCCACCUUUAUUUUCCCAACCAGUUACUAGAGCCCAUUAUUAGAACUUGAGACUAUCAGCGAACCUGGAUUAAUAAAACAGUGAAAUCUUGCUGGAAGGUGCUAUCACAGUAUAACUGGAUUUACCAGCCUGAGGAUUAAGGCGUCUCUUCAAGAUGGAUGUUAGAACAUCACAGAUGGUUAUUUUUUCAGCCCACCUGAUGUUCAGUUUGCUACACAGCCAUUCAUUAUUGAAAGUCUCAGAACCAUAGAGGAGAACAAAUUUUACAUUGCUGUUCAACAGUCAUAUUUGGAAAACUGUAGACAGCUCUUGACAUCCAUAUUGUGCGGAGGAUGUUGGAUACUUUGC